CCCCUCAAGGGUAGGUACUUAGUCCCCUCCUGUACUCACUGUUCACCCACGACUGAAAUGCCACGCACGACUCCAACACCAUCAUUAAGUUUGCCGACGACACAACACAACGGUGGUAGGCCUGAUCUCUGACACUGAUGAGACAGCCUACAGGAAGGAGGUCAGGACAACAACCUAUCUCUCAAUUUGAUCAAUACAAAAGUGCUGAUCGUGGACUACAGGAAAAGGGUGGCGAGCAUGCCCUCAUUCACAUUGACAGAGCUGUAGUGGAGCGGGUCGAGAGCUUCAAGUUCCUAGGCGUCCACAUCACCAAAUAACUAUCAUGGUCCAAACACACCAAGACAGUCGUGAAGAGAGGCACGACAACACCUUUUCCCCUUCAGGAGACUGAAAAGAUUUAGCGUGGGUCCUCAGAUCCUCAAAAGGUUCUACAGCUGCACCAUCGAGAGCAUCCUGACCGGUUGCAUCACCGACUGGUAUUGCAGCUGUUCGGCACCAUCGAGAGCAUCAUCGCAUGAUAUGGCAACUGCUUGGCAUCCGACCGCACGGCAAGCGGUACCGGAGUGCCAAGUCUAGGUCCAAAAGGCUCCUUAACACCCCCUAAUCCAUAAGACUGCUGAACGAUUAAUAAAAUGGCUACCCGGACAAUAUGCAUUAGCCCCCUUUAUUUACACUGCUGCUACUCGUUGUUUAUUAAUCAUAUCAAAUCAAAUGUUAUUUGUCACGUGCGCCGAAUACAACAAGUGUAGACCUUACAGUGAAAUGCUGAAUACAACAGGUGUAGUAGACCUCACAGUGAAAUGCUGAAUACAACAGGUGUAGUAGACCUCACAGUGAAAUGCUGAAUACAACAGGUGUAGUAGACCUCACAGUGAAAUGCUGAAUACAACAGGUGUAGUAGACCUUACAGUGAAAUGCUGAAUACAACAGUUGUAGUAGACCUUACAGUGAAAUGCUGAAUACAACAGGUGUAGUAGACCUUACAGUGAAAUGCUGAAUACAACAGGUGUAGUAGACCUUACAGUGAAAUGCUUACCUACAAGCCCUAACCAACAAUGCAGUUUUUUUUUACUUUUAAAAAAGACCUACAAAAGAAUAAGAAAUAAAAAUAACAAAUAAUUAUCUAUGUAUAGUCACUUUAUUAUUAGGAUUAAAAUCUUUAUUUUAAUCCUUUAUUUACCUAGAUGUACAUAUUGCCUCAAUUACCUCGACUAACCUGAGUUUAGUUAGACAAUAAAUAAAGUAAGAAAAAUUUAACACAAUAAUGAAAACAGUAGCAAGGCUCUAUACAGGGUGUUAUGGUACAGAGUCAAUGUGGAGGCUAUAUACAGGGUGUUACGGUACAGAGUCAAUGUGGAGGCUAUAUACAGGGUAUUACGGUACAGAGUCAAUGUGGAGGCUAUAUACAGGGUGUUACGGUACAGAGUCAAUGUGGAGGCUAUAUACAGGGUGUUACGGUACAGAGUCAAUGUGGAGGUUAUAUGCAGGGUGUUACGGUACAGAGUCAAUGUGGAGGCUAUAUACAGGGUGUUACGGUACAGAGUCAAUGUGGAGGCUAUAUACAGGGUGUUACGGUACAGAGUCAAUGUGGAGGCUAUAUACAGGGUGUUACGGUACAGAGUCAAUGUGGAGGUUAUAUACAGGGUGUUACGGUACAGAGUCAAUGUGGAGGCUAUAUACAGGGUGUUACGGUACAGAGUCAAUGUGGAGGCUAUAUACAGGGUGUUACGGUACAGAGUCAAUGUGGAGGCUAUAUACAGGGUGUUACGGUACAGAGUCAAUGUGGAGGCUAUAUACAGGGUGUUACGGUACAGAGUCAAUGGGGAGACUAUAUACAGGGUGUUACAGUACAGAGUCAAUGUGGAGGCUAUAUACAGGGGGUACCGGUACAGAGUCAAUGUGGAGGCUAUAUACAGGGGCUACCGGUACCGGAGUCAAUGUGUGGGGGUACAGGUUAGUAAUGAGACUAAAUACAAGGGGUACCGGUACCGAGUCAAUGUGCGGGGGCACUGGUUCGUUGAGGUAAUAUCGACAUGUACAGUUGAAGUCUGAAGUUUACAUACACCUCAGCCAAAUACAUUCAAACUCAGUUUUUCACAAUUCAUGGCAUUGAAUCCUAGUAUAAAUUCCCUGUCUUAGGUCAGUUAGGAUCUCCAUUUUAUUUUAAGAAUGUGAAAUGUCAGAAUAAUAGUAGAGAGCAUGAUUUAUAUAAGCUUUUAUUUAUUUCAUCACAAUCCCAGUGGGUCAGAAGUAUACAUACACUCAAUUAGUAUUUGGUAGCAUUGCCUUUAAAUGGUUUAACUUGGGUCAAACGUUUAGGGUAGCCUUCCACAAGCUUCCCACACUAAGUUGGGUGAAUUUUGGCCCGUUCCUCCUGACAGAGCUGGUGUAACUGAGUCAGGUUUGUAGGCCUCCUUGCUCGCACAUGCUUUUUCAGUUCUUUCCACACAUUUUCUAUAGGAUUGAGGUCAGGGCUUUGUGAUGAACACUCCAAUACCUUGACUUUCUGGUCCUUAAGCCAUUUUGCCACAACUUUGGAAGUAUGCUUGGGGUCAUUGUCCAAUUGGAAGACCCAUUUGUGACCAAGCAUUAACUUCCUGACUGAUUCUUGAGAUGUUGCUUCAUUAUAUCCACAUAAUUUUCCUACCUCAUGAUGCCAUCUAUUUUGUGGUAGUGCACCAGACCCUCCUGCAGCAAAGCACCCCCACAACAUGAUGCUGCCACCCCCGUGCUUCACAGUUGGGAUGGUGUUCUUCGGCUUGCAAGCCUCCCCCUUUUUCCUCCAAACAUAACGAUGGUCAUUAUGGCCAAACCGUUCUAUUUUUGUUUCAUCAAACCAGAGGACAUUUCUCCAAAAAGUAUGAUCUUUGUCCCCAUGUGCAGUUGCAGACCGUAGUCUGGCUUUUUUAUGGCGGAUUUGGAGCAGUGGCUUCUUCCUUGCUUAGAGGCCUUUCAGGUUAUGUCGAUAUAGGACUCGUUUUACUGUGGAUAUAAAUACUUUUGUACCUGUUUCCUCCAGCAUCUUCACAAGGUGAUUUGCUGUUGUUCUGUGAUUGAUUUGCACUUUUCACACCAAAGUACGUUCAUCUCUAGGAGACAGAACACGUCUCCUUCCUGAGCGGUAUGACGGCUGCGUGGUCCCAUGGUGUUUAUACUUGCGCACUAUUGUUUGUACAGAUGAACGUGGUACCUUCAGGCGCUUGGAAAUUGCUCCCAAAGAUGAUCCAGACUUGUGGAGGUCUACAAUCUUUUUUCUGAGGUCUUGGCUGAUUUAUUUUGAUUUUCCCAUGAUGUCAAGCGAAGAGGCACUAAGUUUACAUACAUCCACAGGUACACCUCCAAUUGACUCUAAUGAUGUCAAUUAGCCUAUCAGAAGCAUCUAAAGCCAUGACAUCAUUUUCUAGAAUGUACCUAACUGUUUAAAGGCCCAGUAAUCUUAGUGUAUGUACACUUCUGACCCACUGGAAUUGGGAUGCAGUGAAUUAUAAGUGAAAUAAUCUGACUGUAAACAUAUGUUGGAAAAAUGACUUGUGUCAUGCACAAAGUAGAAGUCCUAACCGACUUUCUGACUUCAACUGUAGGUAGAGUUAUUAAAGUGACUAUGCGUAGAUGAUAACAACACCACCUGUGUGAUGUAAGUGCCAUUUUUCUUAUUAUUAGAACUCAAAACACCCUAGAAGUACAUUUUAGAACUCAAAACACCGUAGAAGUACAUUUUCGAACUUAAAACACUGUAGAAGUACAUUUUUGAACUCAACUUUAAGCUAAAAUGUUCUUACUUUUUAAACAAUUCUGCACUGUUGGUUAUGGAUUUGUAUGUAAUAAUUUCAUGUUAAGGUCUGUUGUAUUCGGCGCAUGUGAAAAAUAAAAUGUAUAAAUUAAAUUAAAAAUGUUUUUGUUUUUGUGAAUCAAUCAUAUGUAUCAAACAUGUCAGACUACUGAUCUAGGAUUAGGUACCUAUGUCCCAUACACGUCAAUUCAUUAUAAUCUAAAGGACAGAACUGAUCCGAGAUCAGCGCUCCUACUCGGAGAUGAUUGAUUACGUGCCCAGGUCUC